CAAGACGGAAAGACCCCGUGAACCUUUACUAUAGCUUGACACUGAACAUUGAGCCUUGAUGUGUAGGAUAGGUGGGAGGCUUUGAAGCGUGGACGCCAGUCUGCGUGGAGCCGACCUUGAAAUACCACCCUUUAAUGUUUGAUGUUCUAACGUGGACCCGUAAUCCGGGUUGCGGACAGUGUCUGGUGGGUAGUUUGACUGGGGCGGUCUCCUCCUAAAGAGUAACGGAGGAGCACGAAGGUUGGCUAAUCCUGGUCGGACAUCAGGAGGUUAGUGCAAUGGCAUAAGCCAGCUUGACUGCGAGCGUGACGGCGCGAGCAGGUGCGAAAGCAGGUCAUAGUGAUCCGGUGGUUCUGAAUGGAAGGGCCAUCGCUCAACGGAUAAAAGGUACUCCGGGGAUAACAGGCUGAUACCGCCCAAGAGUUCAUAUCGACGGCGGUGUUUGGCACCUCGAUGUCGGCUCAUCACAUCCUGGGGCUGAAGUAGGUCCCAAGGGUAUGGCUGUUCGCCAUUUAAAGUGGUACGCGAGCUGGGUUUAGAACGUCGUGAGACAGUUCGGUCCCUAUCUGCCGUGGGCGCUGGAGAACUGAGGGGGGCUGCUCCUAGUACGAGAGGACCGGAGUGGACGCAUCACUGGUGUUCGGGUUGUCAUGCCAAUGGCACUGCCCGGUAGCUAAAUGCGGAAGAGAUAAGUGCUGAAAGCAUCUAAGCACGAAACUUGCCCCGA
rnacentral:rRNA from 2 species